UACGGGAGGCAGCAGUGAGGAAUAUUGGACAAUGGAGGAGACUCUGAUCCAGCCAUGCCGCGUGCAGGAAGACGGCCCUAUGGGUUGUAAACUGCUUUUAUACGGGAAGAAAAACAGCUACGUGUAGUUGACUGACGGUACCGUAAGAAUAAGGACCGGCUAACUCCGUGCCAGCAGCCGCGGUAAU
rnacentral:rRNA from 1 species